UGGAUUAGCGGCGGACGGGUGAGUAACACGUGAGUAACCUGCCUUAGACAUUGGGAUAGCCUCGGGAAACCGGGAUUAAUACCAAAUAAAAUCAUAAUGACACAUGUCAUAACGAUCAAAACUCCGGUGGUCUAAGAUGGACUCGCGUCCCACUAGCUAGUUGGUAGAGUAAAAGCCUACCAAGGCGACGAUGGGUAGCCGGCCUGAGAGGGUGAACGGCCACAUUGGAACUGAGAAACGGUCCAA
rnacentral:rRNA from 1 species